AUUUUUCUCCUUCCUCGCAACCGCGCCAGGGAGCUCGCGGCGCGCGGCCCCUGUCCUUCGGCCCGAGAUGAAUCCUGCGGCAGAAGCCGAGUUCAACAUCCUCCUGGCCACCGACUCCUACAAGAAAUAUGAUGGGCAUCUUCCAAUAGAAAUAAAAGCUGUUCCUGAGGGCUUUGUCAUUCCCAGAGGAAAUGUUCUCUUCACGGUGGAAAACACAGAUCCAGAGUGUUACUGGCUUACAAAUUGGAUUGAGACUAUUCUUGUUCAGUCCUGGUAUCCAAUCACAGUGGCCACAAAUUCUAGAGAGCAGAAGAAAAUAUUGGCCAAAUAUUUGUUGGAAACUUCUGGUAACUUAGAUGGUCUGGAAUACAAGUUACAUGAUUUUGGCUACAGAGGAGUCUCUUCCCAAGAGACUGCUGGCAUAGGAGCAUCUGCUCAUUUGGUUAACUUCAAAGGAACAGAUACAGUAGCAGGACUUGCUCUAAUUAAAAAAUAUUAUGGAACGAAAGAUCCUGUUCCAGGCUAUUCUGUUCCAGCAGCAGAACACAGUACCAUAACAGCUUGGGGGAAAGACCAUGAAAAAGAUGCUUUUGAACAUAUUGUAACACAGUUUUCAUCAGUGCCUGUAUCUGUGGUCAGCGAUAGCUAUGACAUUUAUAAUGCGUGUGAGAAAAUAUGGGGUGAAGAUCUAAGACAUUUAAUAGUAUCGAGAAGUACACAGGCACCACUAAUAAUCAGACCUGAUUCUGGAAACCCUCUUGACACUGUGUUAAAGGUAAAUUUUCAUAUGUAACUUUAUUAUUAGAAUCUCUCUGUAGGCCAGCUGCAUCAAUACUACUUUUCAUUUACAUACACACAGUUUCAGAGCUGUGUGGACCAGUCCCCUUUAUUUUAGAGUUGCAGCCCAGAGAAAUAGAUUUGCCUGAGGUCACACAGUAAUAGCACAGAAGGAUACCAAGACUUAUGGAUUAUUUUACUGUCAGUUAGACAGUUGAAUAGAUAUUU
rnacentral:sRNA from 1 species